GAGGCCGCGCCUCGCCUCUGAACUCCGGCGAGUCGGCGUCCUCAUCCAUGUCUCUCGUCUUCUCCUAUUCUAUUCACUCUCUCAUCUCUCGCGAAACUCUUUCGCUCGGCUCCAUCCUCCGCACAGGUCGGCUCCUCCUACCCCGGCCGUGGAGCGGCCGUCGGCUCUGGUUGGCUUCGAUUUCCGACACUUCAAACCUCAUCGUCGUUCUCUCUCCUCAGCGCAGAGCCCCCAAAAUCGUGCCCUAGAGUCAACUACCAGGUUGCUGCCGCCGUUGUCUGGAGCCAUCACCGCCGUCUGGAG
rnacentral:lncRNA from 1 species